AGUUCAAAAAUUAGGUAACUUUAUUUGACACUUUUAGAAAUUUUUUACAGUUUUAAACUAAAACAGACUAAAGAAAUUCCAGUGUUUUUAAAAAGCAAAAUAGAAGGAAAAAACUAAACACCUACAAUUUGACUAGCUGACCAGUCAAUGUCAAGUUUGCUUUCUUUCCUUGUAGCUCUGUAUGCCUGAAAGAGCAUUCCUUAUUCCAUAGAAAAUCACUCUGGAAAACCCUUGGGAUAUUUCUCAUCUCUUUGUCUUAAGAUUCUACCAUCCUUGUUAAUUUUGAAAUUGUUUUUUUCCCAUCUGUGUUACAUCACAGAAGGAAAGCUAAUCUACAUCUGGUCACUGGAAAUCAAAUGUAUUAUAAUGUAUUUACAUAUUAAAAAAAAAAAAAUAUAUAUAAUGAUGUGCUGUGCAAUUGGAUAGAAGGCUGUAAUUCAGCCAGAGGGAGGGCUGGUAUCAAAACCAUAAAGAUCCACACAGACACAGGGUGGGAAAAGGCCACCCAGACUGAACUGAAAAUCUGAUGCUUGUACUAUGGCAAGACCUACAGUUUUGGAAAAUCAGAAAUAUUUGCCAAAAAUGUUUUUUACUACUUAGGAACAAACUUGCUUUGUCCCUUGGUUUUCGCAAUGGCUCUCUCCUAGUGUCAGCACAGGAAGGGAUUCAUAAGGUGACACACUUAGUACUUCAUACUACUUGCAAACAAUAAUAACAGAAAAAAAUAUUUUGUACCACAGAUAGAAGAUAUUGUAUCAUAGACAAAAGACACAGAAUUACUGCUUUAUCUACCCUUGCAGAUAUGCAAUAUGCACAAUUUUGCAAGCCAUCAAGUAGUAGCCUGAGUGAGGGAAAGGGACCCUCUUCCCAUGGGGAAUCAACAGCCCCACAAUCAGCUACAACUGUGGGACUGAGCCACGUGGUGUAUGCCAUUGACAGAGUGACUGAUGAGGUAAAGGAAAUACAAGAUAGGAACCAGGGACCUGGGGAAGGACAUUGAUUUUAUCAGCCUCACUAACUAUAUCCUUACAGAGAACGGAAUUACUCAUUCAUUAUGUCCCAUCUGCACUUCAUUUCCAUACCUUGUUUGUUUGGAAUCUUUUUUGCAGGAAAAAUACUCCAAGUAAGUUUUCAUACCAGUCUCCUACACUGACCAACUUCCUUAGCCAUUCUUUUUAUGGGGGCAGGGGGUGUUUUUUAGAGUGGGUUUUUUUCUAAUUUUACAAAAAAAAAAAUUAUUAAGGGGACAAGCUGCAUAGAUCUUAAAACAGGAAAAACAUGUAACACGUUGGAUCAAGGGAAAAUCUUUCCUUCAGUACCUGAAAUUAGCUUAAAGUUUAUUCUUCAUGCAUACAUAUAUAGAGGUAAACAAAAGCAUUUGCAAGUUUUUGCAAAAUUGCUAAAAUUUGCAAAAUUGCUAAAAUGAACAAUCUUUUAGGUUGCACUCUUCAUAUACUAUCCUACAUACUACUACUUGAACACCAUUACAAAGUCCUUCCACAAAGACAGCAGACAUUUAAGACUAAUCAUGUUAUCUCCAAGAACCAUCUUCCUCUCUAAAAGCAGCUACUGUCAAGCAUCCAAAUGGGUCUUUGCUCAUAAAUCAUCUUUAUACUGCUUGAAAUUUUUGCUUCCAGCCUCCCAACAAUCCACACCCAGAGAAUUUCUGAUUCAAUUUUAGUAAAGUAACACUAGCAGGGGUCACAGGGGGCCUCUGACUUGCUGGCAGGCUAUUAGACCCCAGUUCCUCCAGCCUUUAAAGAACAUGGCCAGCAGUGAACAGAGCAUCUACAGGCAGGGCUGUAAAUUCAGAUUUUUUUAGGUUUUGCUUUUCUGUGUUGCUAGGCUGAAAGUAGCAGCGCUCAUAGCUCCAGUGGCACCUUUAGGCUCAAGGUUUUGUGUGUUCAGCCCGCGAGGAAGGCAGCAUGUGGGGCGGGUGGUCAGUUCCAUUUCUGCCUUUCAUACAGCACCAGGGUGCUCUGUGACACACAGAUUCCUUCUUGCUCUCCCACAACCAGUGCUGGCUGUGGGACUCUCUGUGAGAGUUUGACAGUCAAAAGGUCGCCGGAGGAGACAAGUGGCAAAGUAUGAGUUGAAGACAAACUGGUGACAUGCUCACCCCAGCAAAGGCACAGCAUGGCACGCACUGGCCAGCACAGCAGUUUCCCACACAGGCUUGUCGCCAACUUAGGAUCUGCUGUAACAUCUUUGAUAAACAUUUUUUGCAGUCUCCACUACUGAUUAUGAAAAAAGUAGAUUAUGACCCAAACCAAAUUAAACUAUGCCACUGUGGGUUGUGUUUUUGUCAAACUAAACCUGAACUACUAUUUUGAAGUUUUUGUUCAACAUCAAUCAGAACAACUUCAGUCAGAGCAGAACAAUAAAAUUCUCUUCUGGUUCCUUGCUGGGGAAUGAUGUGAAGGACUGUGCUUCUCCUCAAACAGCACCAAGCUUCCCACCAUCCCAGUGUUCAAGGGUUGGAUCCACAGUGGCAGGUUUGUGGCAAUUUCCUGACUACAGACAUAUGCUUCAGAAGAAAAUAGCUAUUUCUAUCCAUUCCAAACCUCUGGCUCAAGGAAGAAGUUACUGUACUGGAAACAUCAGACAGGAUUCUUGCGCCAACCCCAUUCCAGGGUCGGGUUCUGGGAAACCUUGCCGGCUUCAGUGCACUGACUGAAAGGGUGCUGCUGCUCAUGCCAAGUGCCACAUUCUCAGAGCUGGGGAUCUUUCAGCAGCACUUGACUAUGAGGUGUUGGCUGUCUGCUACUGCAGGGUUCCUACCAGCCCAAGCCACCGAUUUUUUUAGGAGUGAUGACAGAAUACUGUAAUCACAAAAUGGUUUGGGUUGGAAGGGACCUUUAAGAUCAUCUCAUUCCAGCCCCUGCCAUGGGCAGGGAUGCCAUCCACUAGUUUUAGGUUGCUCAGGACUACAUCCAGCUUAGCUUUGAACUUCCAGGGAUGGGGCAUGAGCUGGUGAUGAGCUGGUUUACUUUGAAACCAUGUCGCCGCAUAUUUUCAGCUGACCAAUAUUUACAUGAAACACUCAAAGUCAGUGCACAACAUACAGUGCAUGUCUGUCAGCAGGAAGCAGUUCUUAAGCAAAAAAAAAUCUAGCUAGCAUAUAAUCUCAGAAUUUCUCAGAGACAAGCACCUGGAUGAAGUUUGCCAUCUGGAGCUGAACUUGCAUGCUGACAUGCAGAAAAUUAUUAUGAGAAAAACGUAACACAACCUUCACCUAAGGAAGGUAGCUCCAAAUAAUCAUAGCAGCCUGUGUACCUGUAACCCCUGGCUGCUGGACUCACCAACAGCUUCUGGGAAACAGAACCAAGCCUGAGCCCC
rnacentral:lncRNA from 1 species